GCUAGAUGGACUGGAAACCAGAUAUGUUUUCUCUGCCAUUUCAGGUCCAUUGCGUGCCUAAUGCUAUCUCCUUGUGGACCCAGGCAGGGAAAUAUCCUAGGAUGCAUCUUGCUGAAUUUAUCAAUUUUAUUCUAUUUGAAAACGUGGUUAUGCUUGACAAUUAUGCAUCAUAUCAAUUUAUGUUAUCUCAGAUGUUGGAUUUUAUAAAUAGCGCUCUUAAUAGCCUUUGUGGAUGCCUGUCACCUAAUGUUUCUAACUGUUAGUGGUAAGGGUUAUUGCAUUUUCUUAAGUUGGCCUUCACAGUAAUAUGCUUUCUCCAUUAAGAGAAAAAUAUAGGUAGUACUGCUGACCUCAAAAUAGAAAUUAGCUUUCCUAGGUACUUUAUCUUUCAACCUUUCCACUUGGUAGGAAUAU